rnacentral:rRNA from 2 species
GGCCCUUUGAACUCUAGAGAAGAGCUUUCCCUUCGGGGACAAAGUGACAGGUGGUGCAUGGUUGUCGUCAGCUCGUGUCGUGAGAUGUUGGGUUAAGUCCCGCAACGAGCGCAACCCUUAUUACUAGUUGCCAGCAUUUAGUUGGGCACUCUAGUGAGACUGCCGGUGACAAACCGGAGGAAGGUGGGGACGACGUCAAAUCAUCAUGCCCCUUAUGACCUGGGCUACACACGUGCUACAAUGGAUGGUACAACGAGUUGCGAGACCGCGAGGUUUAGCUAAUCUCUUAAAACCAUUCUCAGUUCGGAUUGUAGGCUGCAACUCGCCUACAUGAAGCCGGAAUCGCUAGUAAUCGCGGAUCAGCAUGCCGCGGUGAAUACGUUCCCGGGUCUUGUACACACCGAAAUU